ensembl:lncRNA
GUUCCGGUAAAAGAAUGUAUCACCACCUUAACUUUAUGGAUGAAGGUUCCGUUUUUGGGGGGUUUCUCCAAGUUAUUACUAGGGAAACGAUAGUUGUUUUGGAUUUUUCCUUUUUUCUUUUUGUUUUGUUAGGGUUUUUUUGUUUAAUCCCUACAGGUCACCAUACAUGUUCUUGUUCCCCCUUCAAAAAUCCCAUGAUCUGGAUUCCCUUGCACCAGCAUGACCAUGUCUUCCCAUCUGGGACCAGCUGAUAAGGGAUUUUCAAAGCUGAAGAGGCAGUAUUGCAGCAGGAAUGAAUCCACAGUUCUGUCUGGAGGAGGGCAAACUCAGAAAAAGGACAGGAAAGGAAAGCAGUAGGUCAGAGGGCAAUCUUAUGAUGCAGAGCCCAGAAAAGGAACAAGUUUAAGGACUGAUUUGCAUUGUUCAGCUCUAUUUGGAGAAAGGAUCCUUGUGAAACACUGCAGCUUGCAGUAUAUUGUUACCAUCAAACAUUAAAACGUGAAUAAAUCUCUAAGGGAAAAGAAAUGGUAAUUUAAGCCAUACAGAGCAUUUAUAAUAAAAUGCUUGUAUUUAAAGUAGCAGGUAAAAGAAGCCUUUCUGAAGCAAAUUUAUGUCAGCUCGCCCAAAGAGCACAAUGCAGAGGCAGGAUACCAGCAUCUACCAGAAGCAGAUAGUUGGCUUAUCAGCCCAAAGCACCAGCUCAACCCAAAAAGCACAGCACCCCAACAACAGCAAGUUAUCAGCACAUGGCACAAACUGAUAAACUUUACAUGUGCGUUAACUUCGAGAUAGGACGCUUUGGUAAAAAGCCGCCCAGCUCACGCAAAGUUACUGGGGGAGUCAAGGGGCAGAAGGAGAGAGAAGGAGAUACAAGCACCCUCCCACACCGUACCUGCUUUUGCAUAGCCAAUGACUCCUCCUGAUGCCACCAGAGCGGCAUAGCCAAAGCCGAGCCAGUCCACUGCCAUGCCGAAAACUGGAAAAGAAAUUAGGCACCGGGGAUUCCCAAAAGGGGAAGCAAGAAAAGUGGAAGAAAUCCACAGCUGCUGGAGCUGCUGAACUCACCUGGGGCUCAGACGAGAUGCUGCUGUUUUCUCGCAGCCAUAGCUCUCCAUCUUCUCUAUCAGUGUCACGCACGCUUACCCCUUCUGACAUGGGAAGAGCUUUCUCACCACUGACAUCUCCUCUCGCCCUGCACUGCUGCCUCCCCUCUAUUAUUCUAAGCAGUUCCUGAAAACUACAAAGGAAAAUGGGCUGAAAAUGAAGAUGUUUCCAAAGAAAUAACAACAAAAAUUGCCAAGUACUGGUUAGUAGCUGAGCAUUCACUCAAGGUAUAGAAAAUAGUUUUCCCCUCAGGAUUGUGUCUGUAUUUUACCUUAAAAACUGUUAGGAGUUGUCUUUUGCCUCCAGUUCAUAAAUUGUUCCAAGUCUAUUAAGAUGUAUAAUUAUUUGUUACUACACAGAGAGCGUGGAUUUUUACAAAUGUCUAAUAUUUACUUGUAAGUCUAAACCCUAGAACCGAAAUUCUGUGGAAUGUUUGCUCUUUAAUUCUUACAAUUAUGUGCAGACUGGAUUUUUCCUGGUGCUUAUGACAGCUUGCUUCUGGAGUGGUGAUGUCCAUGGCCAUGAGUUCAUGUAUUUAAAAACGCAAAGAAUAAAAACUGUUUAGUAGUGGCGGCCAUUUUGUCAAGAACAUAAGAUAAGCACUAUAAAACAGAUGUAACACUUUACAAGUGAAAACACUCUAUGCAAUUCUCUUAUUUAAGCUUAUACCUUGUAAGUCCUAUAUUUACUACAGGACCCUUGUUACCAAUUAAAAAUCUGAUUUGUACCUUUCCUGCCAAGUCUACAAAUAAUUUUAAAACCUG